CGCGGCGGUUUAUAUUCCUUACCGGGGUCGGGAUCGGGAUCGGGGUCGAGCUGGAGCCUGGACUCAGGCAAGAUUUGAAUUAUGCUCAUACCUUGGUUGAUAUUUGAAGCGCUCCUGGUAGCGAAUGGGCUGCAAGGUGACGAUGAUGAUGAGUGGAUUGAUCCAACAGAUAUGCUGAACUAUGAUGCUGCAGCAGGUAGAAUGAGAACGCCACGGGAGAGCAGAAUUAAGGAGGGUGAUACUGAAACGCUAACUACUAAGGAUUAUACAGAAGUUAAUCAGCAAAAAGAAUUCUGUCCAGAUUGUUCCACUUGUGAGAGACAACUUGAUCAUUUACAACAAAGGUUUGAAGAAUUUAGGAAGAAACAGUCAGUUGAAUCAACAGAAAUCGGUUGCAAUCCUGUUUUUAAAAGAUACCUGAAUAAGCUGCUGUUGGAGACUGGAAAAUUAGGCUUGCCUGGUGAUGACAAUGAAGUUCAUUAUGAUGCAGAGAUUUCAAUUUCAAAACAAGAUGUAACUGAGAUCAAGAAGUUUCUCAGUGGUAAGGCAUGGAAAGCUGGUGCUUUGGAUGAUGCACUUAGUAAACUUUUAAUUAAUUUUAAGUUUCAUGAUCAUGAAGCUUGGAAAUGGAGCUUUGAGGAUACAUUUGGUGUGGAUCCCUUAACAGCAUUUCUGUCGUUGGCCAACCUAACUUGUAUUGUUCUAAUUUUUCGGAUUGUGUGGAAUGUCGCCCCACCAUUUACACGGCCCUAUCGCUUCUUCUUGUUGUGCUUUCUGAUUAGUUUUGUUUGGAACUGGAUGUUUUUAUACAAGACAGCUUUCGCAAAGAGACAGGCUAAUUUUGCCAAAUUACAACUUGAUAAGCCUAUGUGUACAGGGGUACAAAACAUGGACUGGAAGGGUAGUCUGACUGAGUGGUUCAGGCGAACAUGGACGUUACAGAAUGACCCUUGUGAAAAGUACUAUGAAGCUCUCUUGGUGGAUCCAAUUUUGGAGGUUCCUCCAACCAAGGCUCUGAUGCUUACUAUAACAACACUGAUCACUGAACCGUUGAAACAUAUUGGGGAACCCAUCAGUCAAUUUUUCCGGGAUCUCCUUAAAGACUUACCGUGGAUCUGGCAGUUUCCUGUGACCUUGACAGUCAUAUUGGCUGUGGUUGCAUUCUGCUAUUCCUGUGGUCAUGCUGUUGUUCGAUAUGGCUUUUCCAGCUCACUUCCAAAUGUUGGUCCACAAGCUCCAAUUGCACAUCAUAACUUGCCACCAUAUAGUCUACAAGGCCCUGUUCGCAAUACUUUUUAUCAAGGGGGAAGAUAUGUGGAUUACCAAGCAGGGGGAGAUUCUAGCCAUGUUCCUAAGAUUAGAAGAGAUGAGGACCAUGAUGCUGUAUUUACUGGUACAAGCAGGCUAAGAGAUACAAAUCACCAGGGUGUGGAAGAUUUAAUGAACUGGGAAAGAGCUGGGAUGUCCAAAACUGGGCUAGGUGACAACCAGCUACGCAGAAGAAGAGUACCAGACCACCAAGAUUGUCAUUGUGCUAGGUACACUUCUGAACAGCUGGCGCCAAAUAAUGGGGUCUUUCCAACCACUGUACCACAGACACCAGAGGAAAACGCUGCACAAAGUGUGAUAGAAGAUGAUGACGUUCAUCAAGCUCAAGGAAUUGUUGAACAGUGUGAAAGGCAUAAUUUUCAAAAUAAUAAGGCAACUGAUGUGCCAGUUAGUAAAUUAGAUAAUCAGUUACACAAGGAGAGAAGAGCAGGCGAGGAGGAUAUGCAGGAUAAUGUUCUUGAGGAACUUGGAACUACUGACGGGCCCCUUGAUGCAGUUUUACAGCUUCCUUCAGAAAGGGAUGACACAGAGGUGGAAGUUACUGACAAAACGAAUGUGCAGGAAAGGAAAUGUGAAAAUGAGGCCUCUUUCAUAGAAAAUGUGGGAGUGCAAGAGAAUGCUCUUCUCUGAAACAAUCUGGAACCUGUUGAAAGGAAGGGUAAAAUCCAGAUUAAAAGCCCAGGCCAAUUGGGGAACAAAUUAGCCUUGAAGUCCACAUUGGUCCCAAUUUAUCGUACAAGAUAUCGUACCUCAUGUACAAGGUGAUCUCCACUUCAGCCAGAAGCAGGCUUUCAAUAAUCCAGAAUUUGGAGAGAACCAAAGAACAUGAGGAUUUCUGUUGAAGAAACCAACCUUAGUUGUAUCUUGCAACAGUUGCUGGUCAUUGGAAAUUUCUGUCAAAUGAUCUCAAGUAUUUUUCAUAAUGAAGUGCACAUCAUUUCUUUCAUUCAUUAACAUGACUUUGUUAACCUCUGAAGUAACACAAUUGUAUUGCUAGUGAGCAUUUUAAAUUUGGGUGGACAAAUAACAAUCUUCAUCCGUUCACAUACAUCUCCUUCUGAACAAAGCUUCAGACUGAACAUAAAGUAAAAUGAGUUAUCAGGAGAAAAACGUGCAACAUGAUACAAAAGUUUUACGUUCUCACUGAAAUGCACAUUUUCAGAUUUUUGCUACUGUAAACCUAAGUUCAUUUCAUUAUAUAUAUAUAUAUAUAUAUAUAUAUAUACACACACAAAAAUGUUAUUUUUUUAAAAUUGCAGGUAUAAAAAUCACUAAGUUCAAUUAAGGCUACAUAAUUGUAAAACAAUAUAUUAUUUUUUUCAGUUGAACUUUUAUUUCAUUGUUUAGACUGGAAGCAGCAUUUGCUGAUCCAGUCCAUUACCAUUGUUUGCGCACCAGACUAGAGUGGUGUUCAUCAACUUUCGGGAAUUCUAUAGAUGGCACAAACUUACAACUCCACUGCAAAUCUUGGGCUAUAAUCAAUGUAUCAGGAGCCUACAGUUCUGGCACUGAAUGCUACCUGCACCAGUGUCAGUGGAAGUCCUGUAUUAUUGCUGGUUUAUCACUGAUCUGUUUACAUUCAGUACUGUCCCACAAUUACUUCACUGCAAAAAAUUGUUUUCUUUUACUAGGAAAAACAAGAAAUGUGUAUAACUUGGCCACCUCUCUCUUCCUUUUGGGGCACUGGUUGUGCUACUGAUAUUUUACUGAGGUGCAUCUGAAAUGUGAUAGCAAUAUUAAACAAACCUGAAAUUAAUCGAAACCAAUAGCAUUUAGAGUGCAUCAUGCCACCUUUUGCCUUUCUAAUAAUCAAAACAUUUAUAUGUUUAUAAAGGUAUAUAUAGGUUCUUGAUUGGUAAGGGGAUCAAAGGUUACGGGGAGAAUGGGGUUGAGAAACUUAUCAGCCAUGAUUGAAUGGCAGAGCAGACUCGAUGGGCCGAAUGGCCUAAUUUCUGCUCCUUCGUCUUAUGGUCUUAUACGUAAUAGUUUAGCUUUAAUGUAUCUGUUUUUCUGUUUCACUUUCCUGUUGAUUUAAACAGAAGCCUUUUAAACUUGAAGAAUUAACAUCAGGGAACUGACAGAAGUUAGUGAAGCAAUAUUCAAAAUUAGAAACUAGUGAAGUCUCUUGGAUUGGUCAGCUAGAAGAAAGUUAUCAUUGGACAUUAGGUAGGGUUGCCACAAUUUGUAAACAAUUAUUUUUAAAAUCAAGAUAAGAUUUUUAUGGCUAAUUAUAUUGUUUAUGAUGGCGGUGAUACUUCUCAUAAUACGACACUUGUAGGAAGCGUAGAUUUUUUAAAUGAAUGCCCCAAGACUAUGUUGUCACAUCUAAGAACUUCUUGAUAAAAAGAAAAACAAAGUUUCAUGGCGAAAGUGGUUUCAGAUAAUAUAGUCAUUAUUUUUUGUUCAUACUGUAACUGUGUGGUUGCCUUUUUUGUUUCCCACCUGAAGUAAAUAGCUUGUUUAUUACUUUAAUUUCCAAAGUUGGCACAGUAAAGACUACCUCAAAUUCUUAAUGCAAAAAAUUAAUUUUAAAUUAUUUUCAGAAGUCCUAAUGGAAAGAAUUUGAUCUGCAAUCUGUAAAUAUGUGUAACAGUCCUUUUAGCAUGUUCAUGAAAUUAAACUUUUCAUACAUUCGUAUGAUAAGGAAG